rnacentral:rRNA from 1 species
GACGAACGCUGGCGGCGUGCUUAACACAUGCAAGUCGAACGGAAAGGCCCUGCUGUUGUGGGGUGCUCGAGUGGCGAACGGGUGAGUAACACGGAAGUAACCUUCGCUUGACUGUGGGGUAGCUGCAGGAAACUGGGGGUAAUAACGGAUAGGAGCGCCUGCUGCAGGUUGGGGGAUGGAAAUUUUUGGUGGUUGGGGAUGGAAUCGCGGCUUAUCAGCUUGUUGGUGGGGUAGUGGCUUCGCAAGGCAUUGACGGGUAGCCGGACUGAGAGGGUGACCGGGCCCAUUGGGACUGGGGAACCGGCCAGAGUCCUUCGGGAGGAAGCAGUGGGGAAUAUUGCACGAUGGGCGGCAGCAGUAUGCAGCGACGCCGCGUGGUAGAUGUCUGCCUUCGGGUUGUAAACCGCGUGCGCCUGUGACGAAGCGUCAGUGACGGUAAUGGGUAAAGAAGCAACGGCUAACUACGUG